GCAUGCCACAUCACAAGGGCCACCCAGAACUGGCUCAACUCUCAUCAAAUCAAUUUCCCGGAGGAGAUCACCCAGCUCGUCAUGCUAGAGCACUUUUUCAAUGGGCUCCCCAACGACAUGGCAACGACGCAUUCGUAUGUCAUCCAUAUGAACUUUCGAUGACACUUUCUGCGCCUACCAUGGUGACCACGGGUAACGGGGAAUCACGGUUCGAUUCUGGAGAGGAAGACUGAGAAACGGCUACCGCAUGCAAAGAAGACAGC